AUGAAUUGAAAGGGAGUUGAUGCUGGCCAGGUCUCUGGCAUGUGCUCGCUUCCGACAAUCUUAUCCAUACACCUGUGCACACUGUGAGGGCAUGCAAGUGCCCUUAUUUACUACAUACACCUAAUAUGGAAAUCGCACGUGACUUGCGUCGUAUGGCGCUUAAAACUAAAAA
rnacentral:misc_RNA from 1 species